GACGAACGCUGGCGGCGUGCUUAACACAUGCAAGUCGAACGGAAAGGCCCUGCUUGCAGGGUACUCGAGUGGCGAACGGGUGAGUAACACGUGGGUGAUCUGCCCUGCACUUCGGGAUAAGCCUGGGAAACUGGGUCUAAUACCGGAUAGGAGCCAUUUUUAGUGUGAUGGUUGGAAAGUUUUUUCGGUGUAGGAUGAGCUCGCGGCCUAUCAGCUUGUUGGUGGGGUAAUGGCCUACCAAGGCGGCGACGGGUAGCCGGCCUGAGAGGGUGGACGGCCACAUUGGGACUGAGGUACGGCCCAGACUCCUACGGGAGGCAGCAGUGGGGAAUAUUGCACAAUGGGCGCAAGCCUGAUGCAGCGACGCCGCGGGGGGGAUGACGGCCUUCGGGUUGUAAACUCCUUUCGCUAGGGACGAAGCUUUUUGUGACGGUACCUAGAUAAGAAGCACCGGCUAACUACGUG
rnacentral:rRNA from 1 species